rnacentral:ncRNA from 1 species
GCAACCUCAGGCUCGCGCACGAGCAGCUGGCGGUGUUCCGCUCGUUGCUGGGGAUCUCGUGGAUGUGGUUCUUCGGCGCGGUGUUCCUGGCCAACUUUCCGGCCUUCGCCAAGGAGGUGCUG